rnacentral:rRNA from 1 species
CAGUAGCCACGGUAAUACGAGGGGGGCAAGCGUUGUUCGGAAUUACUGGGCGUAAAGCGCGCGUAGACGGUUUUGUAAGUCAGAUGUGAAAUCCCUGGGCUCAACCUGGGAACUGCAUUUGAUACUGCAUGGCUAGAGUAUCGAAGAGGGAAGUGGAAUUUCCGGUGUAGCGGUGAAAUGCGUAGAUAUCGGAAGGAACACCAGUGGCGAAAGCGACUUCCUGGUCGAAUACUGACGUUCAUGUGCGAAAGCGUGGGGAGCAAACAGGAUUAGAUACCCGUGUAGUCCCUGUCUCUUAUAC